CUCUCAUCCAAUCAGAACAUGUAGUCCAGGAACCUAAUUUGCAUAACCUUUGUAAGCGAGAGUCUUGCCAUUCCAGGUUCUUCUACGUCUGCCCGCCCAUCUGUUCCGACCCCAGAUUAGAGAAGGAGUUGUCACCGGUGGCAUGCUGGAGGCUUGAGCCUGCAGCAGCAUGGCUCGCCUCACUGUGGCUGGUGGCAGUGAGGUAGAGUACAGCACAGCCAAAGUGGUAGAAAGGUGGCAGAGUAGGUGAGCUAUCCAGGGACUUGUGGCGGGGGGAGAGGGGCAGUGAGCUCAGGGGCCAAGGAUUGGAUGCACUAUCGUGAACUACACUGCCCAAGGCUUUUCUGGCUUUGCCCAUCCAGUUGCUCCGUGCCAGGAGAAGGAGUAGCCACCUGCACAUGCUGGAGGCUGGAGCCAGGGACACCACGGCUUGCCUCGCUGUGGUUGGCGUGGUGGCAGCGAUGGAGACUGCAGAGUGCCAGAGAGGUAGGAUUCUAUGAUGUUCCUGAUGGCCAGAUUGAGAAUCUGUUCUGAGCUACACCUGUGCUCUCCUUCAGAUGGAGUGAUAUGAGGCCUCCAGCCCAGCACCAGCCUGCACCACAGUGGAGGACAGAUUUCCAUUGAAUUCCAUUGGCUCCUCGAUGCAGAAAUAGGACUCUACUCCAAGGCGCAAGAAGGCUUAAGGGGCCAAGUUAAUAGAAAUGUAUAGAGCCGCCUCUUGGUGGGCAGCAUGUGAUGAGGAAUGAGAGUGGCAGCUUCUGAGACAGCCCAGCCCUCUGGGGC
rnacentral:lncRNA from 1 species